rnacentral:rRNA from 1 species
UACGGAGGAUGCGAGCGUUAUCCGGAUUUAUUGGGUUUAAAGGGUGCGCAGGCGGAAGAUCAAGUCAGCGGUAAAAUUAAGAGGCUCAACCUCUUCGAGCCGUUGAAACUGGUUUUCUUGAGUGAGCGAGAAGUAUGCGGAAUGCGUGGUGUAGCGGUGAAAUGCUUAGAUAUCACACAGAACACCGAUUGCGAAGGCAGCUUUCCAAGCUAUUACUGACGCUGAGGCACGAAAGCGUGGGGAGCGAACAGG